rnacentral:rRNA from 1 species
GACGAACGCUGGCGGCGUGCUUAACACAUGCAAGUCGAACGGAAAGGCCUGCUUUCCCUUGUGGAUUGCGGGUACUCGAGUGGCGAACGGGUGAGUAACACGUGAGUGAUCUGCCCCCAACUUGGGUAUAAGCCUGGGAAACUGGGUCUAAUUCCCGAUAGGACUGCAGGGUGGUGCCUGUGGUGGAAAACGAUUUUCUAGUGGUUGGGGAUGAGCUCGCGGCCUAUCAGCUUGUUGGUGGGGUAAUGGCCUACCAAGGCGGCGACGGGUAGCCGGCCUGAGGGGGUGGACGGCCACAGUGGGACUGAGAUACGGCCCCGACUCCUACGGGAGGCAGCAGUGGGGAAUAUUGCACAAUGGGCGGAAGCCUGAUGCAGCGACGCCGCGUGGGGGAUGACGGCCUUCGGGUUGUAAACUCCUUUCGACCGCGAGGAAGCCACCUGGUUGGAAGGGUGGUGACGGUAGUGGUAGAAGAAGCACCGGCUAACUACGUG